rnacentral:lncRNA from 10 species
AGUUACUGAAAUCGUAAAGUAACUUCCACAAGGUCAGGCAGCUACUAAGCUUCAGAGUUUCAGCUGUAACCUGGUCUUGCAACUCUGAAGUGGGUGCAACUGCCUCCCAAACAGAAUUCAAACUUUCACUUCCCAGCCCCUUGAGUUCAUUUCCACAAGUGUCUGGACACUAGAGGGGAGAGAACAGUUUGGGACUGGGUCAGGGAGGGCCGGAGGAGGAGAAGGGACUUUGCCUCCAGUCUCACUGUCACGUGGCUGCUCUCCCCUCCUGCCAGUUUGCCCAGUAUGCGGAGAUCGUCCACUUCACCCUCCCAGAUGGGACUCAGAGGAGCGGGCAGGUGCUUGAGGUGGCUGGCACCAAGGCGAUUGUUCAGGUGUUUGAAGGGACAUCAGGGAUCGAUGCCAGGAAGACCACUUGCGAAUUUACAGGGGACAUCCUACGAACUCCGGUGUCAGAGGACAUGCUGGGUCGGGUUUUCAAUGGCUCCGGCAAGCCCAUUGACAAGGGGCCAGUGGUCAUGGCGGAGGACUUUCUGGAUAUCAAUGGCCAGCCCAUCAACCCGCACUCCCGCAU